AAGCAACAGAUUCGAUAUUAAAAAUGGUGGUAUAUAUUUGAAGUCUGGCAGGAAAAAUAAAUAGGCGGUUCUUUUUGCCUUUCAGAUUUAUUUUAUGUUGUUUGGAUUAUGGCCUCAAACAAGUCACUUUAUC